GACGAACGCUGGCGGCGUGCUUAACACAUGCAAGUCGAACGGUGAACUCCGCUUGCGGGGGGAUCAGUGGCGAACGGGUGAGUAACACGUGGGCAACCUGCCCUCAGCUCUGGGAUAACUCCAAGAAAUUGGGGCUAAUACCGGAUAUGACCGCUGACCGCAUGGUCUGGUGGUGGAAAGAUUUAUCGGCUGGGGAUGGGCCCGCGGCCUAUCAGCUUGUUGGUGGGGUAGUGGCCUACCAAGGCGACGACGGGUAGCCGGCCUGAGAGGGUGACCGGCCACACUGGGACUGAGACACGGCCCAGACUCCUACGGGAGGCAGCAGUGGGGAAUAUUGCGCAAUGGGCGAAAGCCUGACGCAGCGACGCCGCGUGGGGGAUGACGGCCUUCGGGUUGUAAACCUCUUUCAGCAGGGACGAAGCGAAAGUGACGGUACCUGCAGAAGAAGCACCGGCCAAUUACGUG
rnacentral:rRNA from 1 species